AACACUUGUCAAUGGAGAGAGGCCAGACUCUCUGUACAAAUGAAAUGUACCAGAGUCUGGUAGGACCAGGCUAGUCUCUGCAGGCUUUUCUUAGGGAUCCCGAUUAGAAGGGCGUUACAAAAAUCCAGUGUGGAGGAGACAAAGGCAUGGACCAGUUUUUCAGCAUAAGGUGAGUGCCCUCCAGGAGGCGCUACAGGAGCCUCUGUUCCAGCCCACCUGCUUCUGCUGAAUGUUCCUUUUUUUGGUUCAUGCUUCAUGAUGAUGAUGAUAACAGGUAAACAGACAAACCCUUUUAUUGUUUCAUUGCAUUGAUUUAGAUGUAGAUUGUAUUAAUCUUUUGUUUAAAGUUUUUGUUAUCAUAAGGAGCUUUUUAUACUUAUCUUUUAAGUUAAAGUAGCAAUACCACAGUGUAAAAAUACUCCAUUAGAAGUAAAAGUACUCAUUAUAAAAAAAUUGACAAUAUAUGAUAACUUAUGAAAGUGAAUUAUUAUUGCAGAUGGUGAGUAAGCAGCAUUGUAUUGUUGUAGCUAGUCGACAGGUAGCUCAUGUCACGCCCCCGCCUGCUGUGCACGGUGACAGUCUGACUUUCUUCUCCCUGCCGGAUUGUUGCUUACCACUGAAAAUAACCCACCUUCGGAAUCCUCUGCUGCCAAUAGCCACCCCACGCACUGGAACAUCAAGUCUGCAGCCAUACUGAGGAACACAGCCCAGCACCCCCUCUGCUAGCCCUGCAUUCUUCGGACCCAGUACCCCCACUGCCAGUCCAGCCAUCUUUGGACCCAGCACCCCCUCUGCUAGCCCUGCAUUCUUCGGACCCAGCACCCCCACUGCCAGUCCAGCCAUCUUUGGACCCAGCACCCCCUCUGCUAGCCCUGCAUUCUUCGGACCCAGCACCCCCACUGCCAGUCCAGCCAUCUUUGGACCCAGCACCCCCUCUGCUAGCCCUGCAUUCUUCGGACCCAGCACCCCCACUGCCAGUCCAGCCAUCUUUGGACCCAGCACCCCCUCUGCUAGCCCUGCAUUCUUCGGACCCAGCACCCCCACUGCCAGUCCAGCCAUCUUCGGACCCAGCACCCCCACUGCCAGCCCACACUCACAGCUUCAAUAAAAUAAGAUUCUUUACCACCUACUCC